UGUUAAAAAUGAAAAAGAAGGUAAAUUUAUAGAAUAAAACAUAUAUUUAAAUUGAAAUAAAAUAUUUCAUUUGUCGGCACUCAUACAGAAUACGCACAUUUGUCACAAGACUAAGGAAAAAUCGCCAAAAAAUCUUAUAAGUAUUCAUCAAAUAGAAUACGAUAUUUAUAAAUUAUUUUAUUUAAUACGGGAAAAUAUACAUGCGUGUUUAAUAUGUGAAAUGUGUUAAUGUUUGUAUAAAUUUACAAAAAAAAAUUGUAUGGAGUCCAAAGAUCUUCUUUCUAUUACCAAUAAAUACUUCAUUAAAGCCUCAUGUUUGCGCGAGAACAACCGAUCCGUCUAUCACUGUUACUAAAUUUAUACGCUGGUGUCGUGUGCAAAAUGUAUGACCAAAGAUCUCCUUUCUAUUACUAAUGGAUAUUUUACUGAAGACUCACGUCCGCUUGCGCGAGAACAACCGGUCCCUCUAUCAACACUGAUAUUAAAGUUAUUUGCCCGUGUCGUGUGCAAAAUCUCAUUAAAAUCAGUGAGGGACAAUUCUGUCCAUUCCCUUGUUAUAAAAAAAUGAAGGACUCAACCGAUUUCCUAUUUCUCCAGAAAAGCAAUUGUUGAUGACAAUUUGGACCUUUGCAACCCGGAUUCAUACAGAUCAAUAUGUGAUCGCUUUAACAUUGGUAAAGCUACUGCUGUGCGAUCAGUACGGCGAGUUAUGAAUGCUCUUACUAGUAUUCGAGAGUUUGACAUUAAAUGGCCCACAGAAGAAGAAGCAAUGGUAUCCUCGAGGAUCUUUCAAGAAAUGAAAGGAUUUCCCGGUGUAUAUACUGGGAGCAAUUGUUGGGACACAUGUAAAAAUAGAUGCUCCAAAAAAAAAAAAUCAUGAAGGAUAUAUCAAUCGGAAAGGAUAUCAUUCAAUUCAAUUACAAGUAGUAUGUGACCACGCCAUGAAAUUUAUACAUUGCUACAUGGGAUAUCCAGGCUCAGUAUACGAUUAGAGAGUCUUUGGUGUUUCGGGAUUGCAAGAUUUCUGUAAUGAUUCAGCUAAAUUUCUAAAUAAUACUCAUUUAAUUGGUGACGCUGCUUAUAAAAUUCAAAAGAGUUUGCUCGUUUUUUACAAGGAUAAUGGUCGAUUGACUGAGAGACAAACAAACUAUAAUUAUUGUUUAUCAUCGACAAGAAUGAUAGUUGAGCGUUCAAUUGGUCUCUUAAAAUCACGGUUUCGAAUUCUGUUAGGUUACCUGUAAGAAGAACCGAUCGCAUUCCGAAUUAUAUUAUGGCAUGCUGUGUUUUGCAUAAUAUAUGCUUAAUUAGAAAUGAUAUGGUUGAAAUUCCAUUAAUAGUGGAAGAUCGCUUUGAAAACCGUGUGAAAAAUUUGAAUGCAAUACUGCAUGCACAAGGCAUGGAAAAACGUGAUAGGAUUAGGGAUCAUCUCAAUAUUAGAUUACAAUAACACUAUAAUUUGGAAAUGUUCAUCAUGGCAGUGGUCUCUGUUUGCUAUGAAUUUCCAGAGCUAAUAAUAUUGUAUUGAAUUAUUUAUUAAAUUUAUAAAAUCUUUUUUUUAUCCAUUUUAUAUUAUACAAUACUUGUAAAGCUAUUGAAAAUAAAAACGCUAUUAAAAGUAAAAAGAAUUUAUUUGUAUUGUAAAAAUAAUUUAUCCUAAAAUGUCAACAUUGUUUGUCAGCCUAUUAAUUGCCAAUACACAAUAGUAACUUUAUUAUAUCUCCUUAUAAUUACACAACCUUCACUUUGCAAACAAAAUAUAUAUUUGAAAUAAAAUAUUAAUACCUUUGAGAUUGUUGAACAUUUCAGUUUUACGAAUGCUUACAAAUGCUAUAAUAUUACACAACCUUCACUUCGCAAACAAAUAUAUAUUUGAAAUAAAACAGUGUAUUAUCUCUUUGAAGUUAUCAAACAUUUCGAUCUCACGAAUGCUUACAAUUCUACAUUUGAUUUUUCUCUUCUUACUAAUAACUUUGUAAAUAUGUUGUAUUAUUAGCCUUGUUCGUUUUGUCUGUUCUGGGUUUGCUGCGAGUAGACCCAGAACAGACAAAACGAACAAUACUAUUGUAUAAUAUAAUAUGUAUAAUGCCUUUUAACCCAUUGGCUGUGUAAGAGAAUUUUACUAUUUGGGCCAAAAGUCUGUUGAAAAGAAAGUUCAUCGGAUUAUUAUGAAACUUGGUACCCUUGUGUUUUUUGGGUCUCUGAAUCCGAA